rnacentral:rRNA from 1 species
UACGUAGGGGGCAAGCGUUGUCCGGAUUUAUUGGGCGUAAAGAGCGUGUAGGCGGCUAGAUAGGUCCGUUGUGAAAACUCGAGGCUCAACCUCGAGACGCCGGUGGAAACCAUCUAGCUAGAGUCCGGAAGAGGAGAGUGGAAUUCCUGGUGUAGCGGUGAAAUGCGUAGAUAUCGUAAGGAAGACCAGUGGCGAAGGCGGGUCUCUGGACAGUUCCUGACGCUGAGGCACGAAGGCCAGGGGAGCAAACGGG